rnacentral:lncRNA from 1 species
GGCUAACAUUUUGAAACCCUCAAGUGACAGCAAAUUAAUGGACUGCUUGAGUCCAGUGAUAGUCCCUGCAUUUUCUUAUUUUAAAAGAUAUAAUUUCCAUUGCUUGCUAAAAAUGUAGCCUUUUUGUUUUUUGGAUUUGACUUUGUGCAAUAGUUUGCUCACCAUUGAUUUAGUUGCCCCUCCCCUUCCCUUUUUUUAGGGAAGAAAACAAAAUCCUGAGAAAUAUAAGAUAUCGUAAAGAUUUUAAUGUCAAACUUUGAAAUACUCUUUUUCCUCUAAAAGCUUAUUCAAAUAAGUUGAAAAAUGAAUCAUAUUUAUUUAUUUAACCUAAAUAUUAUGAAAAACCUUUAAUUCCAUUGCUAAUACAAGAUAUGCUUUGUAUACAGAAAUUAUUCAAUGUCCAGUCCAAUGCCCACACAUUCAUUACUCAUGUUCACCUCUUUUUGGUAACAGUACUUUUUUCUCAGGUAUUUAGAAAAUGGUUAAACUUUAGGUCUUAUUUUACUUUCUUUGAUAUCUGAUUAAUUAAAGAAAAAACCUACAAUUGACAAGAUACACUUAUAGACACUCUUAAAUCUACUUAAAAUUUUGAAAUCUUAAGCUGAGCAGUAUCUACAUUUUGCUCACACAUAAUUGUCCUCAUGAUUGUGCUGCUAACAAAUAUUAGUUAUUGGAAAAUUAUUGUAAAAAUUACUUUAUGAAGCUUAUUUUCCACAAAAAUAUGCAGAUCUUUCCAUAAUUUUCACAGUGUUGGUUCUAUUUAAGUGAGCAUGAUUUAUUUAUCUAUCGUAUAUGUCAUUUAAUUUACAUAAAAAUUACUGAAGUAGUAUGUUUGUUGAAACUAUAUUCAAAUAACAGAGGAGCAUAUAAAGUAAAAAGAAGAAACAGCAAUUCCCUUUUCCCUAAAAUCAGGAAUUCAUACUGAUCUGCUUUUUCAAUGGCUGUAUAAUAUUCCAGAGUGUGAAUAUAACAUAAUCUGUCUGAUAAUUCCAUUAUUGAUUACCAAUAGUUAUUCAUGAUCCUAAAAGAUCUAUAGUGAACAUAUUUCAUGCAUGAUUGUUUGUUUCCACUGGAUUUCUACAAGAGCCUACAACUGAACCAAAGACUAUAAAAAAUUUUACAUUUUAUUAUUUAUUACCAAAUUUCUCUCAAAAAGGGCACCCCCGGUGGCACAGCAGUUUAGUGCCGCCUGCAGCCCAGGGCAUGAUCCUGGAGAUCCUGGAUCGAGUCCCACGUCAGGCUCUCUGCAUGGAGCCUGCUUCUCCCUCUGCGUGUGUCUCUGCCUCUCAUUCUCUCUCUGUGUCUCUAUGAAGAAAGAAAGAAAGAAAGAAAGAAAGAAAGAAAGAAAGAAAGAAAGAAAGAAAGAAAGAAGAAAGAAAGAAAAUCUUUAAAAAAAUUUUCUCUCAAAAAAAUCCGUAAUAAAAUUAAUACUCCCACCAACUCUGUGUGUGUGUGCCUGUUUCCCUACCAAUGUUAGAAAUUAUCCAUCUUUUAAAGUAGUUAGAAUAUAUAAAACAUUGUUUCCAACUGAAAAUUCUUUUAAUGUUAU